rnacentral:rRNA from 1 species
GAUGAACGCUGGCGGCGUGCCUAAUACAUGCAAGUCGAGCGAAUGGAUUAAGAGCUUGCUCUUAUGAAGUUAGCGGCGGACGGGUGAGUAACACGUGGGUAACCUGCCCAUAAGACUGGGAUAACUCCGGGAAACCGGGGCUAAUACCGGAUAACAUUUUGAACCGCAUGGUUCGAAAUUGAAAGGCGGCUUCGGCUGUCACUUAUGGAUGGACCCGCGUCGCAUUAGCUAGUUGGUGAGGUAACGGCUAACCAAGGCAACGAUGCGUAGCCGACCGGAGAGGGUGAUCGGCCACACUGGGACUGAGACACGGCCAAGACUCCUACGGGAGGCAGCAGUAGGGAAUCUUCCGCAAUGGACGAAAGUCUGACGGAGCAACGCCGCGUGAGUGAUGAAGGCUUUCGGGUCGUAAAACUCUGUUGUUAGGGAAGAACAAGUGCUAGUCGAAUAAGCUGGCACCUUGACGGUACCUAACCAGAAAGCCACGGCUAACUACGUGCCAGCCGCCGCAGUAA